AAUUAUGAGAUUUGUGAGUUUAAUAUUCAGAUUGCUUCUAGUAAAUGAACAUCUAAGGAAUAGUUAGGUGAAUUUUCAGAGCAGUUUAAUUAUUUGUUGGCAUAAAACAUAACCUGUUUAUGUGUGUCCUCCAUAGAGGACAUCAGGAUUUGCUUUUUAUUUUUUAACCUGUUUUAAUAGAAGUCAGCUCACUGACUGAGGCAGAGAAAAUCCUAAACAGGAAUACUGAUGGAGACUCAGACAUAGAUUUGUCAGAUGAGGAGGACCAAGAAGGACAGAAUGACGGUGAUUUUGAGGUCGGGAGUUCAGAGGAUGAGGCAUCAAGUGAGGAAGAGGAGAGUGAAGUUGAGGAUGCAAGGGCCCGUCGCCCACUUUGGACCAAAACUAACACGAUUCCUGCCUGUAGACUGUAUGCACAAUCCUACACUUCUUCGAUCUGGCCAUCACCAACUCCUGGUUACAGUAUAAGGAAGACAGCCAAGCUUUGGCACAACCUAUGAAGAAAACUCUCUAAUACCAUGACUUCAAACUGCUCUUAGGUGAGGAACUGAUUGCCCAGGGGCACUCAGGCCAACCCAAUCCAAUUGAAUCUGAUGCGUCGAAUGAUGAGGAGUAUGUUCCAUCACAGAAGAGAAGGAGGCCCCAGCCAGAUCAGGAAGUGAGAAAGUAUGGAGCUGUCCAUUUGCCAAAGAUGAUGGACAAUCCGAAUACUUCCAGGUGCAGAGCAGAAGGGUGCACUGGAAAAACCUACAAAAGUGCAUCAAAAGCAACAUGUACCCCUGCAUCUCAAAGAAGAAGAACUGCUUUAUGGACUACCACAAACCAAAACAGAACUAACACACCUGAUUAAACUACACUAAUCAGCUUGCUUUUGAUAAGUUGAAUGAGGUGCCUGGAAAUCUGAACCACUGGCUUAAAUGAUGUAGCUCUUUGAAAUUUACAGCACUAAAGAUUUGUCAGAGUUCAGAGGUCAAUGUAUGCCUCGAAAUGUGUUCAUAUUUGCCACAAGAGAGUCCCGAUGUCCUCUCCAAAGGACAUACUCUAAAAAAUAAAUAAAAACAUGUUUUGACAUUU